rnacentral:rRNA from 1 species
CCUACGGGAGGCAGCAGUGGGGAAUAUUGGACAAUGGGCGAAAGCCUGAUCCAGCAAUGCCGCGUGAGUGAUGAAGGCCUUUGGGUCGUAAAGCUCUUUUACCAGGGAUGAUAAUGACAGUACCUGGAGAAUAAGCUCCGGCUAACUCCGUGCCAGCAGCCGCGGUAAUACGGAGGGAGCUAGCGUUGUUCGGAAUUACUGGGCGUAAAGAGUACGUAGGCGGUUAUUCAAGUCAGAGGUGAAAGCCCGGGGCUCAACCCCGGAACUGCCUUUGAAACUAGAUAACUAGAGUCUUGGAGAGGUUAGUGGAAUUCCGAGUGUAGAGGUGAAAUUCGUAGAUAUUCGGAAGAACACCAGUGGCGAAGGCGACUAACUGGACAAGUACUGACGCUGAGGUACGAAAGCGUGGGGAGCAAACAGGAUUAGAUACCCUGGUAGUCCACGCCGUAAACGAUGAUAACUAGUUGUUCGGUCACUUGGUGACUGAGUGACGCAGCUAACGCAUUAAGUUAUCCGCCUGGGGAUACGGUCGCAAGAUUAAAACCUUAAAGGAAUUGACGG